rnacentral:rRNA from 1 species
CCUGAGCGGUAAAAUUUAAAUCUAGAAUCUCAAGAUAUAAACAAGGAUUAGAUACCCUUCUAUACUCGAGACCAGGGUAGUAACUAGCUAUGUUCUUCAAACCCAAAGGAUUUGGCGGUGCUCUAUCUAAUUAGAGGAACCUGUAGGCGUAAUUACGCGCUUUAACUUUCCAUAGCGCUUGUAUACCGUCGUCUAGAUAGGUUUAAAAGAAUCUCUCAUAAGUAUGGCAGAUCAAGGUGCAGCGUACUAUGGGGUUACAAUCUAAAUGAAAGAGGAUUUAACAGUAAGGUUUAAUACACCUAAGAAGCUGCUAUAGAGCACGCACAUAUCGCCCGUCACUCUCA